rnacentral:rRNA from 1 species
UACGGGGGAGGCAAGCGUUAUUCGGAAUCACUGGGCGUAAAGCGUCUGCAGGUGGACUCCUAAGUCCACUGUUAAACCUUGAGGCUCAACCUCAAAACGGCAGUGGAAACUAGGAAACUUGAGUAGAGUAGGGGUAGAGGGAAUUUCCAGUGGAGCGGUGAAAUGCGUAGAUAUUGGAAAGAACACCGAUGGCGAAGGCACCCUACUGGGCUCUUACUGACACUCAGAGACGAAAGCUAGGGGAGCAAAUGGG